UCUGAAGGAACUGCCCGGUGACAAGCCGGAGGAAGGUGGGGAUGACGUCAAGUCCUCAUGGCCCUUAUGUCCUGGGCUACACACGUGCUACAAUGGCGAUGACAGUGGGAGGCCAGGUCGCGAGGCCGAGCCGAUCCCCAAAAGUCGUCUCAGUUCGGAUUGCACUCUGCAACUCGAGUGCAUGAAGGUGGAAUCGCUAGUAAUCGCGGAUCAGCAUGCCGCGGUGAAUACGUUCCCGGGCCUUGUACACACCGCCCGUCACACCAUGGGAGUUGGUUUGACCUGAAGCCGGUGCGCGAACCCGCAAGGGACGCAGCCGACCACGGUCGGGUCAGCGACUGGGGUGAAGUCGUAACAAGGUAGCCGUAA
rnacentral:rRNA from 1 species